UGAGUUUCAUACUUGCGUACGUACUCCCCAGGCGGAUCACUUAUCGCUUUUGCUUCGGCACAGAGGCUUCACACCCCCACACCCAGUGAUCAUCGUUUACAGCUAGGACUACCAGGGUAUCUAAUCCUGUUUGCUCCCCUAGCUUUCGCACUUCAGCGUCAGUUUCUGUCCAGUGAGUUAUCUUCAUCAUCGGCAUUCCUACACAUAUCUACGAAUUUCACCUCUACUCGUGUAGUUCCACCCACCUUUCCAGUACUCUAGUCUGACAGUUUUGUAGGCAAGACUAUGGUUGAGCCACAGCUUUUCACCUUCAACUUGUUAGACCGCCUAGAUGCCCUUUAAGCCCAAUAAUUCCGGAUAACGCUUGCGACAUACGUAUUACCGCGGCUGCUGGCACGUAUUUAGCCGUCGCUUCUUCUGUAGGUACCGUCAUCUUCUUCUUCCCUACUGAAAGCACUUUACAAUCCGAAAACCUUCUUCGUGCACACAGAAUUGCUGGAUCAGAGUUUCCUCCAUUGUCCAAUAUUCCCCACUGCUGCCUCCCGUAGGAGUAAGGGCCGUAUCUCAGUCCCCUUGUGGCCGUUCACCCUCUCGGGCCGGCUAACCUAUCAUAGCCUUGGUAGGACCUUACCCAACAAACCAUAAGAAAUAGGAUGCAAACUACAUAUAUUAGCAGUAGGCAUCUACUAUAAAUAAAGGAGAGAUUGCUAUCAGAAGAGAGUUUGCAUCACCUAAUGUAGCUAGUUGGUGGUAAAGGCCUACCAAGGGCUAUGAUAGGUAGCCGGCCCGAGAGGGUGAACGGCCACAAGGGGACUGAGAUACGGCCCUUACUCCUACGGGAGGCAGCAGUGGGGAAUAUUGGACAAUGGAGGAAACUCUGAUCCAGCAAUUCUGUGUGCACGAAGAAGGUUUUCGGAUUGUAAAGUGCUUUCAGUAGGGAAGAAGAAGAUGACGGUACCUACAGAAGAAGCGACGGCUAAAUACGUGCCAGCAGCCGCGGUAAUACGUAUGUCGCAAGCGUUAUCCGGAAUUAUUGGGCUUAAAGGGCAUCUAGGCGGUCUAACAAGUUGAAGGUGAAAAGCUGUGGCUCAACCAUAGUCUUGCCUACAAAACUGUCAGACUAGAGUACUGGAAAGGUGGGUGGAACUACACGAGUAGAGGUGAAAUUCGUAGAUAUGUGUAGGAAUGCCGAUGAUGAAGAUAACUCACUGGACAGAAACUGACGCUGAAGUGCGAAAGCUAGGGGAGCAAACAGGAUUAGAUACCCUGGUAGUCCUAGCUGUAAACGAUGAUCACUGGGUGUGGGGGUGUGAAGCCUCUGUGCCGAAGCAAAAGCGAUAAGUGAUCCGCCUGGGGAGUACGUACGCAAGUAUGAAACUCAAAGGAAUUGACGGGGACCCGCACAAGUGGUGGAGCAUGUGGUUUAAUUCGACGCAACGCGAGGAACCUUACCAGGUCUUGACAUACUCGGAAUAAGAUGGAAGCAUCUUAGUGCCUUUGGGAACCGAGAUACAGGUGGUGCAUGGCUGUCGACAGCUCGUGUCGUGAGAUGUUGGGUUAAGUCCCGCAACGAGCGAAACCCCUAUCAUUAGUUGCCAUCAUUAAGUUGGGGACUCUAAUGAAACUGCCCGCGACGAGCGGGAGGAAGGUGGGGAUGACGUCAAGUCAUCAUGCCCCUUAUGAUCUGGGCUACACACGUGCUACAAUGGGUAGUACAAAGAGGAGCUAAGCAGUGAUGUGGAGCAAAUCUUCAAAGCUACUCUCAGUUCGGAUUGAAGUCUGCAACUCGACUUCAUGAAGUUGGAAUCACUAGUAAUCGCAAAUCAGCAAUGUUGCGGUGAAUACGUUCUCGGGUCUUGUACACACCGCCCGUCACACCACGAGAGUUAGUUGCACCUGAAGUUACUGGCCUAACCGUAAGGAGGGAAGUACCUAAGGUGUGAUUAGUGAUUGGGGUGAAGUCGUAACAAGGUAUCCGUACCGGAAGGUGCGGAUGGAUCACCU
rnacentral:rRNA from 1 species